AGAAUUUGCCUAUUGCAGACUCAAAGGACAAGACUGACAUUGCAAUUCCAUGCGAUACCAGCAAUGAUAUUGCUGACUAUGCAACAGUUGAGGAAAAACCUGAAGAACCAGUAGUUGAAGAAAAACAUGAAGAACCUGCAAUUGAAAAGAAAUUUGAAGAACCAGCAGUUAUGGAGAAACCUGAAGAACCAGCGGCAAAGGUAAAACCUGAAGAACCAGCAGGGAAAGAAAAACCUGAAGAGCCAACGGCUGGGGAAAAACCUGAAGAACCAGCAGCAAAUGAGGAACCUGAAAAAUCAGCGAUGAAAGAGAAACCUGAAGAACCAAUUGUUGAGGAGAAACUUGAAGAACCAACUGUUGAAGAGAAACCUGAAAAACCACUGAUUGAAGAAACACCUGAAGAACCAACAUGGGAAGAAACACCUAAAGAACUAGCAUUUGAAGAGAAACCAGAAGAACCAGCAGUUGAAGAGGAGAAACCUGAAAAGGUAACUCUUAUGGAAGAGGUGAGUAUCAAGCAUUAUCACAUAGUUUAUCCAUCUAUGUGCAACAAUUCACAUAUGCUUAUCUAUUGAAAGACUAAAUGAAACUUUAAAUUCUUCUUGCAGAAUAUGCCAGCUGUAGAUUUCAACGACAAGACUGACCGUGAAAUUCAAUGCAAUAACAAUGAUGUUGCUGAAUAUGUAGCAGUUGAGGAAAACCUUGAACCAGCAGUUGAAGAAAAACAUGAAGAACCAACAGUUGAGGAGAAACCUGAAGAACUAGCAGUUGAAGAGAAACCCGAAAAACCAACAAUUGAGGAGAAACCUGAAGAACUAGCAGUUGAAGAGAAACCCGAAAAACCAACAAUUGAGGAGAAACAUGAAGAACCAAUAGUUGAGAAGAAACCUGAAGAAUCAAUAAUUGAAAAGGAGAAAUCUGAAAGGGUAACUUUCCUAGAAAAGGUGAGGAUCAAGCAUUGUCAAAAGGUUUAUCCAUCUUAUUACUAUUAGUUGUGUAUGUGCAACAAUUCACAUCUGCUUACCUAUUGAAAGACCAAGUGAAACUUCAAAAUUCUUCUUGCAGAGUAUGCUAGUUGUAGACUCGAACGACAAGACUGACAGUGAACUUCCAUGCAAUACCAACAACGAUGCUGCCCACUUUCCAGAAGUUGAGGGAAACCCCGAAGAACCAGCAAUUGAAGGAAAAUCUAAAGAACUUGUUGAUGAAGAGACACCUGAUGUACCAGUGGUUGAGAAACCUGAAAAACAAAUGGUUGAGGAGAAACUUGAAGAACCAAUGAUUGAGGAGAAAUCUGACGAACUAGUCGAGGAGAAAUCUCAACAACCAGCGGCUGAAAAGAAACCUGAAGAACCAGCAGCUAAAGAAUCACCUAAAGAGGUAGCAGGGGAGGAAACAUCUGAAGAACUAGCACUUGAAGAGAAACUUAAAGAACCAACAGUUGAAGAGAUACCUAAAGAACUAGUUCUUGAAGAUAAACCUGGAAACCCAGAAAAUGAAGAGGAUAAACUUGAAACAGUAACUCUCCAGGAAAAGGUAAGAAACAAGCAGUGUCACAGAGUUUAUCCAUCCUAUUAGCUCUAUAUAUGCAACGAAUUCACAUCUGUUUAUCCACUGAAAGACCAAGUGAAACUUUAAAUUUUCUUGCAGAAUUUACCAAUUGCAGACUCAAAGGACAAGACUGACAAUGCAACUCCCUACAACAACAAUGAUAUUGCUGACUAUGUAGCAGUUAAGGAAAAAACUGAAGAACCAGUAGUUGAGGAAAAACAUGAAGAACCGGCAAUUGAAGAGAAAUCUGAAGAAUCAGCAUUAAUGAAAAAAACUGAAGAACCAGCGGUUGAGGUAAAACCUGAAGAACCGUCAGUGGAAAAGAAGCCUGAAGAACCAGCGGUUAGGAAAAAACCUGAAGAACCAGCAGUUAAUGAGGAACCUGAAAAAUCAGCAACGGAAGAGAAACCUGAAGAACCAAUUGUUGAGGAGAAACUUGAAGAACCAACUCUUGAAGAGAAACCUGGAAAAUCAGUAAUUGAAGAAACACCUGAAGAACCAACACUGGAAGUAACACCUAAAGAACAAGCGUUUAAAGAGAAACCAGAAGAACCAGCAGUUGAAGAGGAAAAAUCUGACAAGGUAACUCUUUUGGAAAAGGUGAGCAUCAAACAUUGUCACAAAUUUUAGCCAUCCUACUAGUUCUGUAUGUGCAAUAAUUCGUAUCAACUUAUCUAUUGAAAGACUAAGUGAAACUUUAAUUCUUCUUGCAGAAUAUACCAGUUGUAGAUUUCAAUGAUAAGACUGACAGUGUAAUUCCAUGCAAUACCAACGACGAUGUUGCUGAAUACGUAGCAGUUGAGGAAAACCUUGAAGAACCAACAGUUGAGGAGAAACCUGAAGAAUUAGCGGUUGAAGAGAAACCUGAAAAACCAGCAAUUGAGGAGAAAAGUGAAGAACCAAUAAUUGAGAAGAAACCUAAAGAACCAGCAGUUGAGGAGAAACCUGAAGAACAAACCGUUGAAGAGAAACUUGAAGAACCAACAAUUGAAGAUGAGAAACUUGAAAGGGUAACUCUCCUAGAAAAGGUGAGGAUCUAGCAUUGUCACAAAGUUUGUCCAUCCUAAUAGUUUUAUAUGUGCAAGCUUUUCAGAUCUGCUUAUCUAUUGAAAGACUAAGUGAAACUUUAAAUUCUUCUUACAGAAUAUGCCAGUUGUAGACUCGAACGACAAGACUGACUGUGAAAUUCCAUGCAACACCAACAAUGAUGUUGCUUACUAUCCAGCAGUUGAGGAAAAUCUUGAAAAAACAACAAUUGAGGAAACAACUGAUGAACCAGUGGUUGAAGAGAAACCUGAUGCACAAGCGAUUAAGGAGAAACCUGAAGUACCAACGAUUGAGCAGAAACUUGAAGAGUUAGCAGGAGAGGAAACCCAUGAAGAACUAGCAGUUGAAGAGAAGCUAGAAGAACCAAUUACUGAAGAGACACCUGCAGAACUAGUUAUUGAAGAGAAACAUGAAAACCCAACAAUUGAAGAGGAGAAACCUGAAACAGAAGCUCUCCUAAAGAAGGUUAGGAUUAAACACUGUUUCAAAAUUUAUCCAUCCUAUUAGCUUUAUAUGUGCAAGGAACUCACAUAUGUUAAUCUACUGAAAGACUAAGUCAAACUUUCAAGUUUUCUUGCAGAAUAUGCCAAUUGUAGACUCAAAGGACAAGAUUGACGUUGAAAGUCCAGGCAAUAACAACAAUGAUGGUGCUGACUAUCCAGCAGUUGAAGAUAAACCUGAAGAACUAACAGUUGAAGAAAAACAUGAAGAACAAGCAAUUGAAGAGAAACCUGAAGAACCAGUGGCCACAGAGAAACCUGAAGAACCAGCGAUUAAGGAAAAAGCUGAUGAACCAGCAGUGCAAGAGAAACCUGAAGAACCAGCUGUGGAAAAGAAACCUGAAGAACCAGCAGUCGAGGAGAAACUUGACGAACCACCAGUUGAAGAGAAAUCAGAAGAACCAGUAGUUGAACAAACACCUGCAGGACCAGCAUGGGAAGAAACAUCUAAAGAACUAGCAUUUGAAGAGAAACCUGAAGAACCAGCAGUUGAAAAAACACCUGAAGAACUAGCAGUUGGAAAGAACCCUGAAAAAACAGCAGUCGGAGAGAAACAUGAAAAAGUAACUCUCUUGGAAAAGGUGAGGAUCAAGCACAAUCACAAAUUUUAUCCAUCCUAUUAGUUAUGUAUGCGCAACAAUUCACAUUUGCCUGUUGGAAGAUUAAGUUAAACUUUAAAUUCUUCUUGCAGAAUAUACCAAUUAUAGAGUUAAACGAGAAGAAUAACAGUGCAACUCCAUGCAAUACCAACAAUGAUGUUGCUGACUAUCCAGCAGUUGAGGAAAAACCUGAAGAACCAGCGAUUGAGAAAAAACCUGAAGAACCAAUGGCUAAGGAGAAACUUGAAGAACCAAUUGUUGAGGAUAAACCUGAAAAAUCAGUGAUAGAGGAGAAAUCUGAAAAACUAGCAACUGAAGAAACACUUGGAGAGCAAGCAGGGGAGGAAACACCUGAAGCACUAGCAGUUGAAGAGAAACCUGACAAAUCAACAGUUGAAGAGACAGUUGAAGAACUAGCUAUUGAACAGAAACCUAAAAAAACAGCAGUUGAAAAAGAGAAACCUGAAGCCGUAACUCUCCUGGAAAAGGUGAUCAAGCACUGUCACAGAGAUUCCUUGCUCUAUACGUGCAAGGAAUUUACAUCUACUUAUCUACUGAAAGAUUUAGUGAAACUUUAAAUUCUUCUUGCAGAAUAUGCCAGUUGUAGAUUCAAAGGACAAGAUUAACAGUGAAAUUCCAUGCAAUGCCAACAAUGAUGUUUUUGACUAUCCAGCAGUUGAGGCAAAACCUGAAGAACUAGCAAUUGAAAAAAAAUAUGAAGAACCAGUAGUUAUAUUGGAGAAACCUGCAGAACUAGCAGUUGAGGAGACACCUGAAAAAUCAGUAGUUGAAGAGAAGCCUGAAAAACCAGCAGCACGGGAAGAAGCACUUGAAGAACCAGCAUGGGAAGAAACACCUGAAGAACCAACAGUUGAAGAGAAACUUGAUAAACCAGCAACUGAAAAAGAGAAACCUGAAAAGGUAACUUUCCGCGAAAAGGUGAGGAUCAAGCACUAUCACAAAGUUCGCCCAUCCUAAUAGUCUUGUAUGUGCAAGGAAUUCACAUAUGCUUUUUUAUUGAAAGACUAAGUGAAACCUUCAAUUCUUCUUGCAGAAUAUGCCUGUUGUAGACUCAAAUGGUAAGACUGGCAGUAAAAUUACAUGCACUACCAAAAAAGAUGUUGCUGAUAAUCCAGCAGUUGAGGAUGAAGAACCAGCAGUUGAGGAUAAACCUGAUGAACCAACAGUUGAAGAAAAACCUGAAGAACCAGCAAUUGAAGGAAAACUUGAGAAACUGGCAGUUGAAGAUAAACUUGAGGAACCAGCUUUUGAACAGAACCCUGAGGAAACAGCAGUUGAACAGAACCCCGAGGAACCGCCAGUUGAAGAAAAACCUGAGGUACCAGUAGUUGACGAAAAAGCUGAAGAACUAGUGGUUGAAGAGAAACUUGAAGAACCAUCAGUUAAAGAAAAGCCGGAAGAACAAAGCAGGGAAGAAACCGAAGCUCCCAUAAAAGAGGCAAAGCAUAACCAGAAUGCAAAUGAAGCAAGCAGCAGUCUGCCAACAGCUAUGCUAAGCCAUCCGCCUGCUCAAGGGACAACAAUGACCAACCCAAUAUUGGGAGAACCAAUUAGUAUUGACGAACCUAAAAAUGUGCAACAGCUAGAUUCUCAAGAAAUAUCAGAAAUCGAUGAUGCAAUGCAGAGAGAUGAAGAUAACAUAAAGCAGAAGGAUGAGGCUUCUUUCACUGAAGAACAGAAGUUUACACCACAGAGUGAGUAAUACUAGUUCACAGACAUGCUUUCCCUAUCCAAUUGAUUUUAUUUGCAAUGGAAAAUGGUGACACACUUUAGAUAACAGAUCAAAUCGAUUUAACCAUAGUCUUACUCGCAAAAAGUAGAGAAAAAUACAAAUGGAACCAAUCUCUAAAAGGAAGCUGAAAUGGAGAGAAGCACCAGAGACAAGAUGCCUUUCUGUUUUGGAGAAACCUCGAAAAAGUAGAAUGCACAUCCACAGUAUUUAGCAAUAAUGAUCAUCUAUCAUUACAUAUAUGAACAUAAUUUAUUUAUUACUACAUUGAUAUAAUAAAGAAAUCCUAUGAUAUGCUUUUGCUAAGAUAUUAGGGCUAGCAGCAUUCAUUAAGCCAUAAAUUCCAAUAUGGAUGUAACAAGCACUUUUUUGGGGGUUCAAAGAGAUGCACUUUCUAGUCACUUCAAUAAUGACUAGAUGUGGUAUUAACUACUACCGACAUAUUGCAGGUUAUGACAAUCAAAAUACUUCGACAGGGGAUAGUUUCUUAAAUAAGAACAUGUUCGCUGAAGGUGAAGCUGUGCACAUUAAUAGUCAAGAGGAUCUAAUCAGGCAAGAAACUUCAGGAAGCACAAAAUCUGAGAUAAAUCCAAAUUCAAGUAAAGGAACAGAAAAUGAGGCAAGUGAUAUUGCUAAUAGAGAAGGAUCAAGCAGACUUGGUUAAGUAAAUAAUUUAGUUGCUCUUCGUCCUUAUUGUUCUAAACUUGAUGAGCUACUUGGUUAUGCAGGUAAAUGACCAUCCAGAAGGACCAGAAGUACCAAAACAAACUGAUGAAACGGAAAAAUGUAUAGUACAGAAGCAAGAAGAUUCCGUUCGCAACCAGGACGAACUGGCUGUUGAAGAAAAAAUGAGAUCUUGUGAAGAGGUUGAAACAAAGGUAUUAGAUGAUCUGGCUUCUAUUAAUACUCUGAUCUUUCCUGUCCAUAGACUAAUGAUAGCCAAAACUAUAACUUCAAAACAUAUAAACAAACUUAAAGAUAUAAAUGCUGGUGAUGGAAUGGAACAAAUAAAAACAUUAUGGAAAAAGAAGAAAAGACUUUGGACAAAAUUCUGACGUCCACCAAAGAAGAAAUUGGUACCAAGAACUCUGAAGAAGGCCAAGUGGUUUCAGAGAUUCCCAGUCAAGAGUUUAAGUGACCAUAGAAGCCUGUUCUUAAUUCAUAUAUGUAACUCUCAGAUAUAAAGAUGCCUUCUCUCUUUCUACUAAAAUCACAAAAUUCCCUCUUUUUCAAAUCUGCAGAACUUUCAACAAGCUAAUUUAAUCAGAGAUGAAGCUUUAUUGAAAGAUGAGCAUGGAGUCGAGAACUUCGUGGUAGUUUCUUCAGAAGAAAUUAGUUGUGAAGGCUCUAUUGAAAAGUUAAACGAAAUGAGAACCUGAGAAUGAAUCAGCCAAUUAGCAUCAAGGCACUCAUAUGACAACCAUUCACUGAGGGUCUUAAGUUUAUUGCAUGCAUAUGAAUUAUCUUGCCACCUUGUCUUUCUGGGAGAAAUAUUAAAAUUCAAGUCUGAAAGUAUUUGAAGUAUAUAGUUCGUAGUAACUACUAACUACUAUAAAUUUAAAGUUCUCCAUAUAAAACAAAAUAAGUCUUCACUUCCUUUCCCAGAGUUUUUGUUUAUUCUGUAGUUAUUGCACAAAAUGGGAAACAAUAGAUGAUAAGAUGAUAUAUACAAGAAAUAGAAAAUUAAUUCACUGCUGAUAGAGUAUAUUCUAUUGCACAAAUAUCAACCAUCUUUGCUCUUUUAUUUGUUUAUUUAUUUAUUUUGUUCGAGGCUAUUACAAGUGAGACAUCCUAGUAUCAUUGGGAUUCAUAUGCGCUUCUUUUGAAAACUAAGUCGAAACAAAAAUUAGCCAAAUGCUGACAAAUGGGUAUGACUUAUUUUUCUGAAAAAGAACGGACCAUUGACAUUGCAAAUCGAGUAUUCCUUUGAGUCUUUGAAACAAUAAGUUGCAAGGGAAGGUUUAAGCAAAUUUCAAAUAUUGCAGGUAGAUGCCUUCAUGCAUUUAUUCUGAUCAUUUUAUUGGUUUUCUUCGGCAGACUCUUUUAACAUUGACAAAAAGAAAGAUUCUUCUUGGAGAAUUAUCAGUUAAUAAAGGAAGAGGCAGUGGAAACUCUUUCUCGGGGAAUUCCAAAAUAUGACCUUAAGAGAAUUCACAUGACGUUAAGCUAGAAACCAAGGACUUAAACCACUAGGCCACGGCAACUGUAUUUCAGUUAUAAACAGGAAUCUUGCUAAAAUAAGAAGUCCCAAAAAUCAUCAUGUAGACAUCUGUUAACUUGAUAUAAUGCUCGGCAGUUGACAAUUACUAAAACCAUCUGGAGAUUAAGAUAUGAACACCUUCUUCUCUCGUUAGAAUGAUUCUUAUAUGCAUAACUCCUUGUCCUUUUCUCACCAGUGUAUGUAACAUACUAAACAAUGGUAGCACUCAAAAUAUUCUGAGCAAUCACGAUCAUUGUUGCAGAACAGUUGAGCAUGUGUAAUAACCCUAUGCGAGAUGCAACCAAAAGAAUUCCACCAUCCUAUUAGUUCCGUAUGUGUAAGGAAUUCACAUCUACUUAUCUAUUGAAAGACUAAGUGAAACUUUAAAUUCUUCUUGUAGAAUAUGCCGGUUGUAGACUCGAACGACAAGACUGACAGUGAAAUUUCAUGCAAUACCGACAAUGAUGUUGCUGACCAUCCGGCAGUUGCAGAAAAACCCGAUGAUUCAGCAGUUGAAGAGAAACCCGAGGAAUGGAUAGUUGAAGAGAAACUGGAAGAAACAGCCGUUAAGGAGAAAGCCGAAGAACCAAAAGUUGAGGAGAAACUCGAAGAACCAGCAAUUGAGGAGAAACCUGACAAACCAGCGGUUGAAGGGACACCUGAAGAACCUGCAGUGAAAGAAACACCUGAACAACCAACGUUUGAAGAGAAACCUCAAGAACCAGCAAUUCAGGAGAAACCUGAAGAACCAACAGUUGAAAAGAAACCUGAAGAACCAACAAUUGAUGAAGAACUUGAAGAACCAACAGUUGCGGAGAAACCCGAAGAACCAGCAGUUAAAGAAAAACAUGUAGAACCAGCAAUUGAAGAAAAACGUGAGGAACCACAAGUUGAAGAAAAACAUGAGGAACCAGCAGUUGAAGAAAAAACUGAAGAACCAGCAGUUGAAGAAAAACCUAAAGAACCAAAAGUUGAGGAGAAACCUAAAGAACCAGCGGCUGAGGAGAAACCCGAAGAACCAGCAGUGAAAGAAACACCUGAAGAACCAGCGGUUAAAGAGACACCUGAGGAACUAGCAGUUGAAGAGAAACCUGAAGAACCAGCAAUUGAAGAGAAACCUGAAGAACCAGUAGCUGACAAAAAACUUGAGCAACCAACAAUUGAGGAGAAACCUGAAGAAUCAAUAGUUGAAAAGACUGAAGAACCAGCAGUUGAUGAAAAAGGUGAAGAACCGUCAGUUGAAGAAAUACCUGAGGAGUCGGCAGUUGAAAAUUUUGAAGAAGCAGCAGUAGAAGAGAAACCUGAAGAACCAGCAGUUAAGGAAAAAACUGAAGAACCACCCAUUGAAGAAAAACCCGAGGACCAAGCAGUUGAAGAGAAACCUAAAGAACUAACAGUUGAAGAGAAACUUGAAGAACCAAUAAUUGAAGAGAAACCUAAAGAACCACCAGUUGGAGAAGAACCCAAAGAACAAAACAGGGAAGAUACUGAAGCUGCCACAGAAAGAAUUGAUGAAUCUGGAACACAUAUAGUAGAGAAAGAAGAAGCUUUGAUAGGAAAACAGACAGAAUUGUUUGUCGAAGAAACAACGAAACUUUGCAAAGAAGUUGAAACUGAGGUAUUAAGUGGCCUUCUAUCAAUGCUUUGAUAUUCUUUCAUGUGCCUAACUAGUCAUAACAAAACCUAUCACUACAAACAGAUAAAAGAACUUAAAGAUGUCAAUGCUGGUGAUGGGACAAAUAAGAAUGUCCUAGGAAAAGAAGAAACAACUCUAGAUGAGCUUCUAACAUCAGCCAAAGAAGAGAUGGCAGCAAAUAACUUUGAAGAAGGCAAAGUGGUUUCAGAAACCCCCAAUCAAGAGGUUAAGUGACCACAUAAGCCUGUUUCCAAUUCAUAUAUCUAACCCCAAGAUAAAACAGAAAUGCUUGCUUUCUCUUUCUUCUAAAUCACUGGAUUGCUCUUUUUAAUUUCUGCAGAACACUCGGCAAGCCAAUCUGACAACAGAAGUGGUUAAAGACACGCGUGGAGCAGAGAACUUCAUUGCACUUUCUUCAGAAGAAAAGAGGGUGGAGGACUCUACUGAAAAGGUAAAUGAACAAAACCUUACAAUAGAUUAGCUGAUUAGCAUCUAGUGAGAAUCUAUGACCACAUAAGCCUGUUUCAAAUUCAUAUAUCUAACCCAACGAAGGUAAAAUAGAAAUGCUUGCUUUCUCUCUUUUUUCUAAAAUCACUGGAUUGCUCUUUUUUAAUUGUGAAGAACUUUCAGCAAGACAAUCUAACCACAGAAGAGGUUAAAGACACAAGUGGAGCAGAGAACUUAAUUGCACUUUCUUCAGAAGAAAAGAGGGUGGAGGACUCUACAGAAAAGGUAAACAUGCAAGAUCUUACAAGGAAUUAGCCGAUAAGCAUCUACUGAGAAUCUACGAGUUUGUUGCAUGCUUAUGAGCCUAGAAGUUCAAUUUUCCUGCUGCAUGAUAUUUUCAGAACAACAACAACGACAACAACUAAGCCACAACUCCAAGUUAGUUAAGGUCACAAAUCCCUAGAGGAAUAUAUAUUAUUCUCAGUUUCUGUUCCCUUCUGCAAAAAGAGGAUUGAGGAGAUGUUGCUGUGAGAGCACUAUAUACGGAAAACUGCAUGAAACAUUUCGUGUAAGCAGGCAGAGUAUGACAUGAAUGACGAUUUGCUACCUGCUACAAGAAAUCGCAAUUCUAAAUUUAAAAAGUUGGAACUAAAUUAUAACAGUAAAAUAAGUUAUAGAAAAACUAGCAAAACAGAACUUGAUGUUUCCCCUUCCGAUACAACCACUAAAGAAGCAUGAAUAGAACUUACGAAUUAUCUCGAGUUGAAUCAAAGCUAGAAGCAGCAUAUGCACUGCAAUCAUGUUUUGUCGCGUCAUGCAAUCCUGCUAGCAGUCUCCAGAAAUCUCUCUAUUUCCUCACCCUUUCAGUUAUUUCUGGAUACCAACCAAAUUAGAAAUUACUCAUUCUAC
rnacentral:lncRNA from 1 species